rnacentral:rRNA from 1 species
UACAGAGGGGGCAAGCGUUAUUCGGAAUUAUUGGGCGUAAAGGGCGCGUAGGCGGCUUUUCAAGUGACGGGUGAAAUCCCUCGGCUUAACCGAGGAACUGCCUGUCAGACUGGAAGGCUUGAGACCGGGAGAGGUGAGUGGAAUUCCCAGUGUAGCGGUGAAAUGCGUAGAUAUUGGGAGGAGCACCAGUGGCGAAGGCGGCUCACUGGACCGGUACUGACGCUGAGGCGCGAAAGCGUGGGGAGCAAACAGG